rnacentral:rRNA from 1 species
CCGGCGACGCAUCUUUCAAUGUCUGCCUUAUCUACCGUCGAUGGUAGGUUCUGCGCCUACCAUGGUUGUAACGGGUAACGGGGAAUCAGGGUUCGAUUCCGGACAGGGAGCCUGAGAAACGGCUACCACAUCCAAGGAAGGCAGCAGGCGCGCAAAUUACCCACUCCCGGCACGGGGAGGUAGUGACGAAAAAUAACGAUACGGGACUCAUCCGAGGCCCCGUAAUCGGAAUGAGUACACUCUAAACCCUUUAACGAGGAUCAAUUGGAGGGCAAGUCUGGUGCCAGCAGCCGCGGUAAUUCCAGCUCCAAUAGCGUAUAUUAAAGUUGUUGCGGUUAAAAAGCUCGUAGUCGAAUCUGUGUCUCGCGCCGCCGGUUCAUCGCUCGCGCGGUGUUUAACUGGCGUGUCGCGGGACGUCCUGCCGGUGGGCUUAGCCUCUUAAUUGGGGCGGCCCAACUUCAAAUCCCACCA